AUUUUUUUAAGAACUAAUUUAAAAUAAAACCUGCUCAAUGUGUUUAAAUAAAUAGCUGCAAUUUGUUUGUACUAAGGUAGCAUAAUCAUUAGCUUUUUAAUUAAAAGAUAGAAUGAAUGGUUAAACGAGAUGUAAACUGUUUCAUUAAUUUAAAUUAAAUUAAAAUAAAAGUAAAAAUACUUUUAUUAAAAAGAAAGACGAUAAGACCCUAAUAAACUUAAAUAAUUUAGCUGGGGCGGCUAUUAAAAACACCUUAAUAAUACAAUUAACUAAUCUUAAAUAAAAAGUAAAUAGUUACUAUAGGGAUAACAGCGCAAUAUUAGUUAAAAGAUCUUAUUAAAACUAAAUUUUACGACCUCGAUGUUGAAUUAAUUUAACUUUAUAAAGCAAAAUUUAUAAAAGGAGGUCUGU
rnacentral:rRNA from 1 species